GCCCAUGGAGAGGAAAAUUCAUGCUGGAGCAGGUUAUUCCCGGGGAGAUCUAUGUGCAGUUCUCCUAUUUCGAAAUGGUUGUUAUGUCUAUUUGGAUGAAGAUGACCUUUUCUGCCAAAGGCUGCCAUGAAUUCAGAAUCACUAAACACAGCAGAUGAUGGUAAAGAAAUUAUUUGUGGACUUUUGCAAAAAAAAUAUUUUCUACAGUUGCUGCUAAAAUGAAGAGAAUCACAUCCAGUCAGAAAAAGAAAAAAACAAAA